rnacentral:tRNA from 1 species
GUGGGCGUAGCUCAGUUGGUAGAGCUCCGGAUUGUGGCUCCGGUGGUCGUGGGUUCAAGUCCCAUCGCUCACC